CAGUCGCCGCGGUAAUACGUAGGUGGCAAGCGUUGUCCGGAAUUAUUGGGCGUAAAGGGCUCGCAGGCGGUUUCUUAAGUCUGAUGCGAAAGCCCCCGGCUCAACCGGGGAGGGUCAUUGGAAACUGGGAAACUUGAGUGCAGAAGAGGAGAGUGGAAUUCCACGUGUAGCGGUGAAAUGCGUAGAGAUGUGGAGGAACACCAGUGGCGAAGGCGACUCUCUGGUCUGUAACUGACGCUGAGGAGCGAGAGCGUGGGGAGCGAACAGGAUUAGAUACCCCCGUAGUCCCUGUCUCUUAUAC
rnacentral:rRNA from 1 species